UACGUAGGUGACAAGCGUUGUCCGGAUUUACUGGGCGUAAAGAGCGCGCAGGCGGUCGUUCAAGUCGAGUGUGAAAGCCCCCGGCUCAACUGGGGAGGGUCAUUCGAUACUGAUCGACUCGAAGGCAGGAGAGGGAAGUGGAAUUCCCGGUGUAGUGGUGAAAUGCGUAGAUAUCGGGAGGAGCACCAGUGGCGAAGGCGACUACCUGGCCUGUUCUUGACGCUGAGGCGCGAAAGCUAGGGGAGCAAACGGG
rnacentral:rRNA from 1 species